UCUAAAUCAAGCAAUGUGUGAUCCAUUUCAAAACAGACGUCAAUUCACUACUCACUCAUCAGCCCACUGCAAGUGUGUGGAUGCUCAAACAUUUCUAACAAAUUGUGUUUUAGAUUCCAUUCUCCUCCCCUAGAAUGGAGCUUGUCCCUCUUCUAACACAGCCCUGAAUCAAGUCCUCUGCGCCAUUACAUUGGGUAUUUAAGUACUUUCCAAUUACACCAUAAUGCACUUUUGUCACUUUCCUCAGAAAAAGCCAAAGGAAUCACAUUUCACUUGCACUAGUCUCCUUCACAAUUAUAUAGCCUCCUGGUUACCAACUUGCUUUGUGCCUAAUCCGUGUUCUCUUCCUCACUGUUUAUGCAUAUGCACACCCCAUAAAGAUCAUCCUUUCGUGAAAUCCUUAAGCUUGCUUUCCCACCCAUCAAUAUUAAGCUCCUUGAUCAUUAGCUUUCUUUUUCACUCUUCAAAUGAAUAGCAUAAGCUUCAAGAAUUGUAUUCUGUUUCUUUGUUUUGUCUCGUUAUGUUCUUCUUCUUUGGUCGUCUCUCUCGCUGGUGACUCUGAAAUAUUGAUCCGUGUCAAGAAUGCUAUGCUUGAUGACCCCAAUGGAAAGCUUAGUGACUGGGUUGAAAGUGCUGACCAUAACUGUUGUAACUGGACUGGCGUUACUUGUGAUUCUCAGAAUCAAUCGGUUGUUUCAAUUGAUUUAUCUGGGUUUUCCAUUUUUGGUGGGUUCCCUACUGGAUUCUGUCUCAUUCGGACCCUCCAGAGCCUUUCUCUGGCCUACAAUUUCUUCAAUGGUACUCUUACUUAUCGCGCUCUAUCUCCAUGCUCACACCUUCAUGUAUUGAACCUCUCCAGCAAUGAAUUCGUCGGUCAGUUGCCAGAUUUCUUGCCGGAUCUUGACAAUUUACGAGUCCUAGAUCUCUCAAUCAACAAUUUCACUGGUGAUAUUCCGGCUAGUUUUGGCAGGCUUCAGUCUCUGGAAGUUCUCUCUCUGGUCUCUAACUUUCUUAACGGUUCAAUCCCAAGGUUCUUAUCCAAUCUCAGCGAAUUAACCCGCUUGGAACUCGCUUAUAAUCCGUUCAAGCCAAGCCCUCUGCCUCAAGAGAUUGGCAAUUUAUCAAAGCUCGAGCAUUUGUUUCUUGCUGGCACGAAUCUCAUCGCGGAAAUUCCAGGCUCGAUUGGGAAGCUUGGCUCGUUAUACAAUCUGGAUUUGUCAAGCAAUUUAAUCACUGGCAAGAUACCUGAGAGUAUUUCUGAAUUGAAAAGGAUACAACAAAUAGAGCUCUUCAACAAUCAACUGUACGGUGAGUUACCUGAAAGUCUGUCAAAUUUAACUACUUUGCGUCAAUUUGAUGUCUCACAGAACAAUCUCACCGGAAACUUGCUGGAAAAUAUCUCCGCAUUGCCACUCCAAUCACUAAAUUUAAACGACAACCACUUCAACGGAGAAAUCCCUGAGGUUUUGGCUUUGAAUCCAAAUCUAUCUGAAUUAAAACUCUUCAACAACAGCUUUACUGGGAAAUUACCUGCGAAUCUUGGCAGGUAUUCCGAUUUGGAAGAUUUUGAUGUUUCGACCAAUGAUUUUACCAGCGAGUUGCCGCAGUAUCUCUGCCACAGGAAGAAGCUUCAAAGACUUGUUGCUUUUGUCAAUCGUUUCUCUGGUAGUUUGCCCGAGACCUUGAGUGAAUGUAGCAGUUUAAAUUAUGUGAGGGUUGCUGAUAAUGAGCUCUCUGGUCCAGUGCCAAACAAGUUGUGGGGUCUCAAUACCUCGCGUCUUGAGUUAUCCAAUAACAAAUUUGAAGGUUCAAUUUCUCCUUCAAUCUCCGGUGCUCGAGGAUUAUCUGGCCUUUUAAUCAACGGCAACAAAUUCUCCGGCAAAUUACCGGCGCAAAUUUGCGAAUUGCCUGAGGUUAUCGAGAUCAAUUUGAGCAGUAAUCAAUUCGUAGGUGAAUUACCUUCAUGUAUAACUGAAUUGUUGAAGUUGCAGAAGCUGAACAUGCAAGAGAAUAUGUUUUCUGGGGAGAUUCCGAGUUCAGUGAGUUCGUGGACUGAUUUAACUGAAUUGAAUUUAUCAAGAAAUCGACUCUCCGGCGAGAUUCCACCGGGACUUGGUAACUUACCGGUAUUAACUUAUCUGGAUCUUUCCGAUAACUUACUCACCGGCGAAAUACCGAUGGAGUUGACCAAGUUGAAGCUGAAUAAGUUCAAUGUCUCUAAUAACAGAUUAUAUGGGAGAGUGCCUUCCGGUUUCACAAAUGCAGCGUACUUACCGAGUUUACUGGGUAACCCGAAUCUGUGCAGUCCGGAUUUUAAAGCCCUCCCUCCAUGCUCCAAACCCAAACCCAAACCCGCCACCUUGUACAUUGUGGUCAUUUUAGCCAUUUGCGUUGUAAUUCUUGUCGGGUCUCUUAUAUGGUUCUUCAAAGCCACUUUAUUUGUGAGAAAACCCAAAUGCCCAUAUAAAAUUACCGCAUUCCAACGGGUCCGGUUCACGGCGGAAGACAUAUUUCCACACUUAACAAAAGAGAACCUAGUAGGAUCAGGCGGGUCGGGUCAGGUUUACAAAGUUAUGCUCAAAACAGGAGAGAUUGUCGCAGUGAAGAGACUAUGGGGAGGUACCCAGAAACCAGAGACGGAAUCUCUGUUCAGAUCAGAAGUGGAAACGCUGGGUCGAGUCCGGCAUGGCAAUAUCGUAAAAUUGUUGAUGUGUUGCAGUGGAGAGGAGUUCAGAUUUCUGGUAUAUGAUUACAUGGUGAAUGGGAGUUUAGGCGACGUGUUGCAUAGAGAAAAAGGUGGUGGUUUACUGGAUUGGCCAGGGAGGUUCGCGGUGGCUGUGGGUGCGGCACAGGGCUUGGCUUAUUUGCACCAUGAUUGUGUACCGGCUAUUAUUCAUAGGGAUGUGAAGAGCAACAACAUCUUGUUGGACGAGGAGAUGAGGCCCCGGGUGGCGGAUUUUGGGUUGGCUAAGACGCUGCGGAGUGAGGCGGGUGAGGGUGAUGUUGCUUCUAUGUCUCGGAUCGCUGGUUCCUAUGGCUACAUUGCCCCAGGUAAAAGACUAUAAUUUUGUUCUGGUAAAGCAUAUAUAGCAGAUUAUAUCAUCAUUAGAUUACAUUCUAAUUAAUCUGUUUGUUGCAUCAUCGAUUUACAGAGUAUGCUUACACGCUUAAAGUGACAGAGAAGAGUGAUGUGUACAGUUUUGGGGUAGUGUUAAUGGAGUUGAUCACUGGCAAAAGCCCAAAUGACUCUUGCUUUGGUGAGAAUAAGAAUAUGGUGAAGUGGGUUACUGAGGCUACAUUAUCAUCAUUGCCUGAAGAAGCGAGUGAAAAUAAGGCCAGCAGUACUGGCUACACUGGAGGUCUACGUGAGAUUAUAGAUUCAAGGUUGGAUCGAUCUACAUGUGAUUUUGAGGAAAUAGAAAAAGUUUUGAAUGUAGCUCUUCUUUGCACUUCAACAUUGCCCAUGAACAGGCCCUCCAUGAGAAGGGUAGUUGAAUUGCUCAAGGACCAGAAAUUUGCUCGUCCUCAAUGAUAGCUUCCAAGAAUUGGUAGCCAGUGACUCCAUAUCCUGUAGAACUUGUAGUGGCAAUCUUCUUAGUUAUUCCCUCUUUUUUUCCUGAAAUUAUGCCACCUUGUACUUGGCUUAGACGCAAAGCUGAAUAUGGCACUUGCUUUGGGUGAAAUUGACAUGUUUAAUCAAGCUGUGUUAAUCAAUAUAGACUUUGAUAAUUU
rnacentral:misc_RNA from 1 species